ACGCGAUGAACCUUACCAGCCCUUGACAUGUCCAGGACCGGUCGCAGAGAUGUGACCCUCUCUUCGGAGCCUGGAACACAGGUGCUGCAUGGCUGUCGUCAGCUCGUGUCGUGAGAUGUUGGGUUAAGUCCCCGCAACGAGCGCAACCCCCGUCCCCUAGGUUCGCUUACGAUUUUGCAUACGUUAGUUAAGGUUCAGCAGCACUUCCUUAAAAGGGGAAGGAACCUUGGCCCCGGGGUGAUAAGCCCGC
rnacentral:rRNA from 1 species